CGUUCGUCGCGGGGGCGGUUCGGGUUCGUCUCGUCCCGGCCUUACAGCUCCCGCCAUCGAGCGUGCCGGGCGCGUUCGCUUUAAAGCGCUCCUUCUGCAGCGAGUGCGUGCGGUACCGCAGCGGCAAGCGGUGCUUCUGGUCAGCCCUGCGCCUCGGUUUUGUGCGGGGCGAGCUGGGUAAACCGGCUGCGCCUAUUGAAAAGCCCUCUGCGUUUUAGUCUCUUGUUGAAACUUCACCAAGUGACCGGCAAAUGCGUUUCCGUGCUGCUGCUACAGAUCAGCACAUCCUCUUGCCACGUUGCUGCUAGAUCCCUUGCCCAGCUGAUGGUGUGGUCUCAAAAACAGUUGUGAUGGCCCAGGGCCCGGAGCAAGCAGCCGGCUGGGAGACGGGCUGGUCCUGAGGGAUGGGAAUGUAUUUCACAGGAAUUUGUCAGCAGAGUUGGCCACAGAUCCUCAGAGUCCCAGGUGACUUCUGAUACAACCAGACACUUAAGGGAAGGAUUCAUAAAGAGAAGCCUGGAAAGACUAAAGCUGCAAGAACAGGAGUUGAAAAAAAGGAAAGAGAAAAAAAAAAAGGGGAGGGAAAAGAGAAGAGGGUUGAAAGGUGAGGCUGUACUUUAGAGAAUGUCCAUCAGCUGUUUCUUCAGAUUUGUUACACUAUUUCAUACCAAGUGGCAUCCAAGAAGGGAGUUGUCAACUGUAAAAACCCAGGCUUUGAGGAAACGGGAAUCCAAGAACUUGAACCAAUCCUUAUAGUUUUUAAUUUGUGUUACUGUGGGAAAGAAAAGCAACCUAACUCAGUGUGUAAGGCAUCAGAUGGAGUCAGUUAUGAGAAAGUGGUUGGACUAGAGACAUUCUGAGGUA
rnacentral:lncRNA from 1 species